rnacentral:tRNA from 1 species
UGUGUUUAUAACUUAAAUGGAUAAAGUAUUAAACUACGAAUUUAAAUAUUGAAAGUUCAAGUCUUUCUAAACACAA